rnacentral:rRNA from 1 species
AGGACGAACGCUGGCGGCGUGCUUAACACAUGCAAGUCGAGCGGAAAGGCCCUUCGGGGUACUCGAGCGGCGAACGGGUGAGUAACACGUGAGUAAUCUGCCCCUAGCUCUGGGAUAGCUCCGGGAAACCGGGAUUAAUACCGGAUACGACCACCUUAGACAUCUUUUGUGGUGGAAAGAAUUUCGGCUAGGGAUGAGCUCGCGGCCUAUCAGCUUGUUGGUGGGGUAACGGCCUACCAAGGCGACGACGGGUAGCCGGCCUGAGAGGGCGACCGGCCACACUGGGACUGAGACACGGCCCAGACUCCUACGGGAGGCAGCAGUGGGGAUAUUGCGCAAUGGGCGAAAGCCUGACGCAGCGACGCCGCGUGGGGAUGAAGGCCUUCGGGUUGUAAACCCCUUUCAGCAGGGACGAAGCGAAAGUGACGGUACCUGCAGAAGAAGCGCCGGCUAACUACGUGCCAGCAGCCGC